UUUCCGUAGGUGAACCAGCGGAAGGAUCAUUAUUGUAUAACCAAGGUGCAAGGCCUUGCGCUCAUACGAAUUGUUGCGCCGGCGGGACAGCCCGCACACAGAUCAAUCUCACCCCUAUGUGCACCACCCCUUGGGUCCCCCUUUGGCUUGUUCGGAGGAGGGCUUCCGUUUUCACACAAACUUUUUAUACAGUGGAGCAUGUAUUUUUUGUUUUUGCGAUGACGGAAUCAAUACAACUUUCAACAACGCAUCUCUUGGCUCUCGCAUCGCUGAAUAAUG
rnacentral:misc_RNA from 1 species